CACGCCGUAAACGAUGAGUACUAGGUGUUGGGGGAGACAUCCUUCAGUGCCGCAGUUAACACAUUAAGUACUCCGCCUGGGGAGUACGGUCGCAAGACUGAAACUCAAAGGAAUUGACGGGGGCCCGCACAAGCAGCGGAGCAUGUGGUUUAAUUCGACGCAACGCGAAGAACCUUACCAGGGCUUGACAUCCCUCGGACAGAACUAGAGAUAGUUCCUUCCCUUCGGGGACUGAGGUGACAGGUGG
rnacentral:rRNA from 1 species